GGGUUUAGCUCAGUUGGUAGAGCGCNUGCUUUGCAAGCAGGAUGUCAGCGGUUCGAGUCCGCUAACCUCCAUCCAGCUAGGUUAAGACCACAACAUGAAGCUGCAUCAGGAGGAAUUCUGAUGGGUGAAGUGACCGGACAUGUUCAGCUGAGGACUCCAGCCUCCUUUCAUUCCCGAUGAAUGAGCUCACACGAUGUGUGAUGCCUUGUUCAGAUGUGGUUGAAAGGAAGCUGGACUCGCUGAUCACCCACUUACAUGUUCAUGGGAGUGGGUGAGGCAGUGUAGCCAGCAAAGAACCUUGACAACUGCAUAGGUGAGUCUGGAAAAGAAAGCAUCUCAUGGAUGCCCAGACGGACGUGGACGGAUCCUGGUAACCCCAGGUGAUGGAGACGGCUGACUGGGAAGAUUCUUGAGUUUAGAGCCGAGAGCUUCCAGCGUCUUUUCGCUCCGCCGAGGAGGGAAGAGUCAGAUUCUGCCUUUCAAACCGCUUGAGUUUGAAUGAAACGAGAGACCGCGACGGGCAACCGCAGCGGUGAAUUGUUUCAUGAAAAGCGAGAAGGAUAGGUGAAAGCAGGAGAAUGGGUCUCAACAACCCUGAAAC
rnacentral:tRNA from 1 species